GACGAACGCUGGCGGCGUGCUUAGCACAUGCAAGUCGAGCGGUAAGGCCUGCUUCGGUGGGUACACGAGCGGCGAACGGGUGAGUAACACGUGGGUGACCUGCCCUUAGCUCUGGGAUAAGCCUGGGAAACUGGGUCUAAUACCGGAUAUGACCAUAUGUCGCAUGGUGUGUGGUGGAAAGCCUGGUUGUUGUGACUGGGUGGCUGGGGAUGGGCCCGCGGCCUAUCAGCUUGUUGGUGGGGUGAUGGCCUACCAAGGCGACGACGGGUAGCCGGCCUGAGAGGGCGACCGGCCACACUGGGACUGAGACACGGCCCAGACUCCUACGGGAGGCAGCAGUGGGGAAUAUUGCGCAAUGGGCGGAAGCCUGACGCAGCGACGCCGCGUGGGGGAUGAAGCUUCUCGGAGUGUAAACCCCUUUCGACCCGGA
rnacentral:rRNA from 1 species